AUUGAACGCUGGCGGCAUGCUUUACACAUGCAAGUCGAACGGGUCUAUAGAAGCUUGCUUUUAUAGAUUAGUGGCGAACGGGUGAGUAGAACAUCGGAACAAACCUGACAGAGGGGGAUAACUGACCGAAAGGUUGGCUAAUACCGCAUACGUCUUGAGAGAGAAAGUGGGGGACCUUCGGGCCUCACGCUGACAGAUUGGCCGAUGACUGAUUAGCUAGUUGGUGAGGUAAGAGCCUACCAAGGCAACGAUCAGUAGCGGGUCUGAGAGGAUGAUCCGCCACACUUGGACUGAGAGACGGCCCAGACUCCUACGGGAGGCAGCAGUGGGGAAUUUUGGACAAUGGGGGCAACCCUGAUCCAGCCAUGCCGCGUGUCUGAAGAAGGCCUUCGGGUUGUAAAGGACUUUUGUUGGGGAGCAAAUCGCUUGUGUGAAUAAUGCGAGUGGAUGAGAGUACCCAAAGAAUAAGCACCGGCUAACUACGUGCCAGCCGCCGCGGUAAGAC
rnacentral:rRNA from 1 species